UCUCCUAUGGUGAUGUUCUCCCCGGCGGCGCGUUCUCCUCCUCCGUCAAGAUUUUCUCCAGAUCUGAAUGAUGCAUAGGACAGAUCAAUGGCUGCGUGAAUUUGAUUCACAAAUAUUUAUUGGUGCUUCUUGGAAGAAGGAUCAAACAUUGUUAACACUGCUGGUCGCCAAGGUUGCCUGGGUAAAUACUUAACUUUCUAUUUGCCAGUGUAUGUCUAGUUAAGUUUUAAUUCUCAUGUUAAACAAGUAUUCAUUAAUAUUGCUACUUCAUAUGAUGAGGAACACAUAGAUUCUUUGUAUUGCUCAGAACCACAUUAUUUUGAUGAUGAGGAACAUGAUCAUGUGUUUUUAGAAUAAGACAUAUUGUGUGAUGAUUCAGAGUUAAAAACUCUUGUAUCAAAAGAGCAAGAACAAGAGAAGAAUGGAAGAAGCAGCAGCCAUGGUUGAAAACUUUCUCAUUCUCUGCUCUCACAGCUUCUCUUGCUAUUAACUACCUUCACAGAUUCCUUUUCACCUUCACCGUGAAGAAGAAGCAGCCAUGGUUAACUCAUCUUGCUGCAGUUGCUUGCAUCUCUCUUGCUGCUAAAAUGGAAGAGACACAAGUUCCACUUCCUCUUGAUUUACAAGUGGAGGACAAAAAACAUGUGUUUAAGGCAAAAACAAUAAAGAAAAUGGAGAUUUUGGUACUUUCAACUCUUGAGUGGAAGAUGAAUCCACCAACACCUCUCUCUUUCAUUGAUCAUAUCACAAGAAGACUUAAAUGUUUUCAGUUCCUCAACACAUGUCAAUCUCUUCUUCUUUCUCUCUUACCAGGACCUCACAAUAUUCAGGGUAUUGGGGCUGGUUUUGUGCCCAGGAAUUUGAACUAAAAUAUACUUGAUGAAGUUAUAGAGGUCUGUUGUUUUGCUUUCCCAUCUUCUUUCUCCUCUCUUCCUUUUUUUUAUAAAAAAAAUAAUAAACAUAAAAACUUUUUGGAGUUAUAAUUCAAUAUGUCCUGUUUAGUAUUCUCCAUAAUUCGGUUAAAUAAAAUUAAUUCAUUAAUUCUUUUAUCAAGACAUGGCAGUUGCAUGAC